CACGUCACUUUCACUUUUUUAAAUAUCGGAUCAGCUUUCCAGCGCUGGAGAGAACUAAAGGAGCGGGAAGGUCUGCGAUUGGAUGCCGAGGUUGCUUUAUUUCUUCUCAAUAAGCUGAGCUGGAUGCUGAAUCGAAAGAGUGAGCCGUAACAUUUAAGGUUUGUGCUGAGUUUCACCAUAUCAGAGAAAGAUGUUGCAUGACAUACUAAAUGUUUGAUCUUCAGGUGAGUGCAAAUUCACAAACACUAACUACCCCCAUCAUUGUUUUCAUUGUAUAUAAAAUAAAGUUGGUCUGCUUGUUUAACAUGUUUAUUUUUUUGUUAACAUGAGGUCAACAUGAAACGAGCCCUUCAUGGUCUCCCAGUGUAUGUGUGUGAGGAGAACUGUUCUUCAGGACAUGAAAUCUGCAAAUCAUUUGUCCUUUCCUCUGAGGAAUCUGGAUAUGUGACGAAAAGACUUUGAAUCCUCCCCGGCACCCAAAUCUACUCAGCUGAGUUCAUACUUCUUGAGGCUCGAAAGGAAUAUUCAGUUCCAGAAUAAUGUUACUCAUAAAUAAAUUACUCAGAGACUUUUCUUUUAAUAAAGUUUUAACGCAUCACCAUUUGUAAUGGCUUUGCUUUAUUAGACAAUAACUCAUAAGUAAUAAAAAAUGAAAAUAACAGCGAGUAAGUCUUCACCAUCGGAGUGUGGCCCCGCACAAAGCUCUCCUUGGCCUUUUAUAGCCUUGCAUAAAAUUUGCAUCAACUUCCCUGCCUUCCUUAUUUGGCAGUCUCCUAUAUUCAUACACAGACCGAGUGCAUGACGUUUAUCACACUUAAUACAGAGUGUCAAAAGUACAAAUGGAAGAAUUGCAGGGUCUAUUAGUAAAGCAUGCAACUGCUCAUAAAAAUAUCCAUAACACCUCUAAAGCAUAGUUAUAAUUAUACAUUUUCUCAACCACAAAAGUCACACUUGCAUAUAGAUAUAGUAAAAUUAGCACAGCUACGUAUAGGUUCCAUCUCACAAGUUUGUUGAGAUGCAUCCCCUUCCUCUCCAUCGUCCAAAUAAACAAAGCACAUAGCAACUUAAACCUUAAAGAUGUAUACUUAUAGAAAUGGGAAACAGAAGGUGUGAUCAAAACAUACAUCUGAAACUUCUACCUUGCCCCUGGACAGCAUGUCUGCGUCAAGGUUCAAUCUGCCCGGCACAUGAACCACCCUUAGCGAGCGGAAUUCUUUCUGUGCCCAAAAGAGGAGGCGAAGAGCCAUCCUGCAAAGAGGGUGUGACCUGAGACCGCCUUGGUGAUUGAUAUAAGCCACCACCGUCAUGCUGUCCAACUGGACCAAGACGCUGUGCCUUUUCAAGGAUGGAAGGAAGGUUUUCAGGGCUAAGAAAACUGCCAACAUCUCUAGGCAGCUGAUAUGCAGGUGUUGCUCCAGGGCUGACCAGGAGCCAAAUGCCGGAUUGCCCUCCAACAUGGCGCCCCAACCUGAGUUGGAUGCAUUCGUUGUGACUACCUUCCUUCUGGAGGUCAGGCCUAACCUUGUUCCUGUUUGGAACAGGUGAGAGGUCAUCCAGGGCGCCACAGCCUUGAUACAGCUGUGGUCUACCCUGACAGGAAACUGCCCCAGGUGCUAGGCGUGGGGUGGAAUGUGGGCUUUGAGCCAAAACUGAAGGGGCAACAUGUGAAGCAGACCCAAAAAAAAUUACAGAGGCAUCGGCCACCAUAAGGCCAAGCAACCUCUGAAAAACAUUUAGGGGGCUUGUCGCCCUGGUUUAAGAGAUGCCGCCAAUCGCUUAAUAGUCAGGGAUUGUUUCGACAUAAUCCAUGCCCGCAUUUGGGUGGAGUCUAAAAUCUUUCCCAGAAAGACCGCUUGCCAUCUGGGUAACAUCUAACUCUUGUGCAAGUUGAUGAUCCGCCCAAGGCGCUCCAAGUGGCUGAGUAACAGCUCUCUGUGAGCAGCCAACUCCCAUUCUGACCUGGCUAGAACCAGCCAAUCGUUGAGAUAGUUCAAAACAUGGAUUCCCAUCUGUCUCAGAGGGGAAAGAGCCGUGUCUACAGAUGUGAAAGUAUGCAUCUUUCAGAUCCACAUUCAAAAACCAGUCCUCGGGGCAAAUGUGCGCAAGGAUCUGUUUUAUAGUUAACAUCUUGAACGACCAGCGCAUAAGUGAAUGGUUCAGACGUCUGAGAUCCAGAAUGGGUCUGAGCCCGCCAUCUUUCUUUGGAACGAGGAAGUAGCGGCUAAAAAAGCCUGACUCACUGUUCGCUAGGGGUACUAUGUUAACUGUGAUGGUUAGGGCUGCGGUUCUCAAAAGCAUCAUGAGCUAAGUCGAUUGUUGAGACCAUUUGGUGGCAAAUGUUUCAACGAUCAU